rnacentral:rRNA from 1 species
AACGAACGCUGGCGGCAGGCUUAACACAUGCAAGUCGAACGCCCCGCAAGGGGAGUGGCAGACGGGUGAGUGACGCGUGGGAAUCUACCUAGUUCUACGGAACAACAGUUGGAAACGACUGCUAAUACCGUAUACGCCCUACGGGGGAAAGAUUUAUCGGAAUUAGAUGAGCCCGCGUAAGAUUAGCUAGUUGGUGGGGUAAUGGCCUACCAAGGCGACGAUCUUUAGCUGGUCUGAGAGGAUGAUCAGCCACACUGGGACUGAGACACGGCCCAGACUCCUACGAGAGGCAGCAGUGGGGAAUAUUGGACAAUGGGCGCAAGCCUGAUCCAGCCAUGCCGCGUGAGUGAUGAAGGCCUUAGGGUUGUAAAGCUCUUUCACCGAUGAAGAUAAUGACGGUAGUCGGAGAAGAAGCCCCGGCUAACUUCGUGCCAGCCGCCGCGGUAAAAC